rnacentral:rRNA from 1 species
UGGGGAAUCUUGCGCAAUGGACGAAAGUCUGACGCAGCAACGCCGCGUGAGUGAAGAAGGCCUUCGGGUUGUAAAGCUCUGUCGGAAGGGACGAAAGGUUUAUUGGUUAAUACCCAGUAGAUUUGACGGUACCUUUAAAGGAAGCACCGGCUAACUUCGUGCCAGCAGCCGCGGUAAUACGAGGGGUGCAAGCGUUGUUCGGAAUUAUUGGGCGUAAAGGGCAGGUAGGUGGUCUCAUUUGUCUGGGGUGAAAGCCUUGAGCUUAACCCAAGAAGUGCCUUAGAAACGGUGGGACUAGAGUCUUGGAGAGGGUUGCGGAAUUCCCGGUGUAGCGGUGAAAUGCGUAGAGAUCGGGAGGAAUACCAGAGGCGAAGGCGGCAACCUGGCCAAGUACUGACAC